CAGAGAACACAACUAGAGGCCUGUGGGUUACUCUUUCCUGUGAGAAGGUUCUUAGAACUCUUCAAAUGAUUUACUCAGAGUUACAGGGUGACAGGGUAUCGCUGAGCUCAAAUACCAAAUUGAAGAGUGUCUUCUUCGAUGCAAUGCUUUAAACGUGUUAAAACUCAGUUAUGCCCUCAGUUUGCUGAAGAUUCAUUAUUUUUCACUCUGAGCUACCCAGGGAGAAGUGCAGAAGGCAAUUCAGAAGCCCACAGGGUGAAAACGGUGGCUGGGCUCUGCAUUCUCUUUCCUGCUGUGUGAAUCCGUAUUUGCACCUACGAACAGAUGGAGAAGAAAGUGUCUUCCUGAGUUGAGUUUCUGCUGCUGGCUGGCUGAACAUCUGGUACAUAAUAGUAGCUCACAUUCGUUGACCAACAAACAGACUCUGCACUAAGUGCGUUAGUUUAUCAGAGACUACCUAAAAGAUUGAAGUUGUCAAGGAUUUCAUUUUACUUGGCUCCACAAUCAACGCCCAAUGGAAGCAGCAGUCAAGAAAUCAAAUGACUCAUUGCAUUGGGCAAAUCUGCUGCAAAAGACCUCUUUAAAUUGUCCAAAAGCAAAGAUGUCACCUUGAAGACUAAGGUGUGCCUGACCCAAGCCAUGAUAUUUUCAAUUCCUCAUAUGCAUGUGAAAGCUGGACGAUGAAUAAGGAAGACUGAAGAAGAACUGAUGCAUUUGAAUUAUGGUGUUGGUGAAGACUGCCAAAAGCAACAACCUAGUUUCAAUCUGACUCCAUUGUUUUCUCAAAGAGCAAUUGCAUACUUGUAAUUCUACAAAUGAGAAGUAGGCCCUGAUUUAUAUGCCUCCAAGUUUCUCUUCUACAGACUGCAGAUAUGUGAUGGGGCUAAGAAUCAUAGGGCCCUUUUGCUGUUUUUUUUAGCUAGGUGCUGGGGAUACAUCGAUAAACAAGACUCCUGGAGCUUUCAUUCUGGUGUUUCUGGGUGGGAAACAUGAGUACACCUUGGAGCUGUGGUCAGAGGGCAAUCAGCAGCUGUGGUGUUUAGUGGGUGACCCCUCGAAGGCACUGAAUGCGGUGAAUGGCAGAGAACUGACAACAGAGCCUGAGGACCCCUUCAACUGUUGCAGGGAAAUUGCCAUCAUUAAUAACAGAAAUGUCUCCUAGGAUGGGGUGUAUAUUGGAAAGACCCAUACAAGUCAACUCUUUGAAAGACUGUGAUGAUUCAUGAUCUGAGGAAAUUUUAAAAGUCAUCAAGGAUGGGAAGGAGCGAUUUUCGCCACCUUAUCUGCCCUGCCGCCAUUCUCCUCUUUCCUCUGUGAUUUUAUUUCCCUUCUUGUCUGUGGAAAUGCUUGGUAUACUGCUAUCUCCUCUCUUCUUCCUAUCACUUUUCUUUCCCAGGGCACAGCAUGUCCCAGAAUUUUGCUGAUACCUGCUCUGACCCAUUAUGAUUGUGUUUUAGAGUUUAACUCCCAGUGUAGUGUGGUACUUCCUUUAUUUUGUAGUGCCUGUUGAGAGUGGGGGAAGGUGUCUCACUGUGACCACCAUGCCUAGAUGCUGUAACAUUUGUGCCUGGGAGAAUCUGGAAGGUCUGCUCUGGGGCCUACGGGUUUAAAGUCACAGCAGAAAGUCUGGAUCUUUUAUGGAUUCACUAAAAAUGAUUUUUAACUCUUAAUAAUCUCAGUACCAAAGCAUGUGAAUGGUUACUCUUGAAAAUAAAGUCAUCGCGAAGCAGGCAGUCAUGAAAGGGUUAUUAAGGGUUAUUAACCAUCCCAUAAUUGUUGCUUUUCAGAAAAGCCUACUCUUGCUACAUUUUUGUUACAACUUUUACAGCACUUCACCAUGAUUGGUUGAAUCCCCAGGUUUCUUGUCUUCUCUUGUCAGGCACACUGGCUCCGAAUCUACCCACUCUAUGACCUUUCUGGGGUGGCAGUAGUGAGUCGUCACCAUUUUUUCAGGACUGUGGACAAUAUUUUUAGAGCCAUGCACAAAAGCCCAUUCACUAAAAUUAUGUGGACUGUGCAUGCAUCAAAAGACUGAAGAUCCUUCCCUCACUGUUCAUACACAUAUAUGUCACUCCCUAUAAAAGGUGCAAAUCUUCCCUGGUUCAGGGAGCUGGCAGCCUUUGGUCAUGAGACCCUGCCAGUCUCCCAGUUUGCAAACUGUAAAUAAACCUUUCUGUUCUUCCAACCCUGUGUUCGGGUGACUUCAAUUCUCUAAUCUGCUCGACAAGAACCUAUUAGUUGACAGCUUCAAUUGCAAGUGUAUUAAUGUCCUAGAGCUGCCAUAACAAAGCAUCAUAAACUGGGUGGCUUAUAAGACCAGAAAUUUAUUGUCCCACAGUCUGGGAAGCUGGAGUCUGAAAUCAGGGUGUUGGCCACAUUGAUACCUUCAGAGGGCUCUGAGGGAGAAUCUGUUCCAUGCCUUUCUCCUAGCUUCUGGUGGCUCCCAGCAAUCCUUGGAGUUCCUUGGCUUACAAUUUCUGCCUCUGUUGUCAUGUGGAGCCCUGGUGGUGCAGUGGUUAAGAGCUUGGCUGCUAACCAAGAGGUCGGCAGUUUGAAUCCACCAGUCUCUUCUUGAAAACCCUGUGGGGCAGUUCCACUCUGUCCUAUAGGGUCACUAUGGGUUGGAAUUGACUUGAUGGCAACAGGUUUGGUUUUUGUUUUGGGGUAUUGUCACAUGGCUGUUCUCCCUCUGUAUGUGCCUGUGUCUCUUCUCCUCUUUUAUAGGACACCACGCAUAUUGGAUUAGUACCCACCCUAAUCAGUAUGGCCUCCUAUUAACCUAGCUGAUAACAUCUGCAAAGAUCCCAUUUCCAUGCAAGGUCACAUUCACAGGUACCCAGAUAAGGACUUCAACACACCUUUUUGGGGGACACAGCUAAAUCUGUACACUAAAUUAUGUCUAUAAACCAAUAACCCUCAUUCUUCUACGUUCCAAUGUCUUCUGGAGUGGGAGGGGAAGGCAUGAAGUUGCAUUUGUGAACCCAGAAAUGUAUAUAACCUACAGUUUAUCUGUGUACCUACAAGGUAGGGUGUUCACACAUGUGUUUGUUUAUAAUUUUUAGGUAGUGAGGGGUGGGAACUGCAUUAUGAGCUAUUUGGUAAAACCAAAUUAUAUUUGACAAUGAAUCAAGCAACCGUAAGGUGUACAACUCCUCCCCCUCAUGACUACUAAAGUCACUGUGAGUGACACAGAAUUAAAAGUAAUAUCUGUCAUAGUGUACUUAGGUCAAUAUGCAUUGACUGAACACGAUUCAUAAUGAAAUACACAAAUCUAACUCCUCCUACACAUUUUGCUAUUCAGAGACCUGCCCAGACAUUUUGGCCCUACUGAUUAGCAAACAGCGAGUCCUGCUUCUCUUUCUGCCCUCCUUUGCUUCUUUCUUCUUGCUUUCCCACUCAACUUCCUCCCUGCCUCUCUUAGCUCCCUCACCAGACCCCAUCUCUCCUCUUCCCUGAACAAAACGUCUCUCUUCCUACAGCAUGGCUCCAUGCCAGAAAUAAUGGAAAUGGUGGAAAAUUUUCCUGUGAUUAGAGGUGAAGCCAGCAGCAAGGGAUCUUGUCCCUCACUCUCUUCCCCUCUAGACACCCUCCUCCCCAGGCUGAGACCUGAACUGAAUAGAGUGGUGAGCAUCGGGACAGUUGUCUCAUUCCUGAUGCCAGAGAAAACUUCUAUUGUCUCACUCUUAAGCAUGCUGUUUAUGGGCCAGAAUGAGGUUCACAUUUGGAAUUUCCUUACAACAGAGAAGACCUAUUUCUGGAUGAUAGAGCAGCUGUGGAAGAAUUUAUGUCAUGGACCAUGGCGCCAUCUUGUUCUAAGGGCCUGACUACACAUCUGGAUGGGAGAUGAAGGUCUCUUUCCACCUUUCUUUAACACAGUAAAUCUCAUCUGGGCAGCCGAUCAGAGUCACCUGAGGAGCUUGUUAACUAACUACUUAGGACUCGGCCCCACCCAGGAUGGGGUUGUGGGACCUGGGUGGUGUGGGAUGUGGUAGUGGAGAGGAGAGAGGGAGGCAGUGGUACCAAGCGUAGUUUGAAACUUAGCAAAGCUAUUGGACCUUCUCAUUGAUGACCUGCCUUGGGCCACUGGGCCAAAAGAGCUCCUAGAUCUAAUCAUCUAAAGCAGAGGCAAUACAGCUAGAGAUACUAUUUCUGGCUUUAAGACUCUUACUUCUAAAUCAUGGCCUAGUUAAGUCUGACCCUCAGGUUCAGGUGCCAGAGGAAGAGGCCUGGAGUUAUAGCUCUCAGAUUCCUCCUGUCAUGGAUUGAAUUGUGUCCCCCCCAAAUAUGUGUAUCGAUUUAGUGAGACCAUGAUUCCCAGGAUUGUGUGACUGUCCACCAUUUUGUCAUCUGAUGUGAUUUUCCUAUGUGUUGUAACUCCUACUUCUAUGAUGUUAAACAGGUGGGAUAGGUGGCAGUUAUGUUAAUGAGGCAGCACUCCAUCUCCAAGAUUGGAUUGUCUUGAGCCAGCCUCUUCUGAGAUAUAAAAGAAAGACAGUGGUACCUCAUUCCACCAAGAAAGCAGUGCUGGGAGCGGAGUGCAUCCUUUGGACCCCGGGUUCUUGCCGGAGAAGUUCCUAGACCAAGGGAAGAUUGAUGACAAGAACCUUCCUCCGGAGCCGACACAGAGAGAAAGGCUUCUCCUGGAGCUGAUGCCCUGAAUUUGGACUUGUAGCCUACGAGACUGUGCCGGAAUAAAUUUCCCUUUGUUAAAGCCAUCCUCUCGUGGUAUUUCUG